UAGAGUUUGAUCAUGGCUCAGAACGAACGCUGGCGGCAGGCUUAACACAUGCAAGUCGAACGAAGUACUCCUGCUUGCAGGAACUACUUAGUGGCGCACGGGUGAGUAACGCGUGGGGACCUACCAUUCUGUAGAGGAUAACUGUUGGAAACGACAGCUAAUACUGUAUACGCCCUUCGGGGGAAAGAUUUAUCGCAGAUUGAUGGACCCGCGUCUGAUUAGCUAGUUGGUGAGGUAAGAGCUCACCAAGGCAACGAUCAGUAGCUGGUUUGAGAGGAUGAUCAGCCACACUGGGACUGAGACACGGCCCAGACUCCUACGGGAGGCAGCAGUGGGGAAUAUUGCGCAAUGGGGGAAACCCUGACGCAGCCAUGCCGCGUGAGUGAA
rnacentral:rRNA from 1 species